AUAUUUCUGUUUUCGCUGAUAUUACGCACCACGUGUUCAUAUUACGCACCAC
rnacentral:scRNA from 1 species